AUUGAACGCUGGCGGCAGGCCUAACACAUGCAAGUCGGACGGUAGCACAGAGGAGCUUGCUCCUCGGGUGACGAGUGGCGGACGGGUGAGUAAUGUCUGGGGAUCUGCCCGAUAGAGGGGGAUAACCACUGGAAACGGUGGCUAAUACCGCAUAACGUCGCAAGACCAAAGAGGGGGACCUUCGGGCCUCUCACUAUCGGAUGAACCCAGAUGGGAUUAGCUAGUAGGCGGGGUAAUGGCCCACCUAGGCGACGAUCCCUAGCUGGUCUGAGAGGAUGACCAGCCACACUGGAACUGAGACACGGUCCAGACUCCUACGGGAGGCAGCAGUGGGGAAUAUUGCACAAUGGGCGCAAGCCUGAUGCAGCCAUGCCGCGUGUAUGAAGAAGGCCUUCGGGUUGUAAAGUACUUUCAGCGGGGAGGAAGGCGGUGCGGUUAAUAACCGCGCCGAUUGACGUUACCCGCAGAAGAAGCACCGGCUAACUCCGUGCCAGCAGCCGCGGUAACAC
rnacentral:rRNA from 1 species